rnacentral:rRNA from 1 species
CCUACGGGAGGCAGCAGUGGGGAAUAUUGCGCAAUGGGGGCAAGCCUGAUGCAGCGACGCCGCGUGAGUGAAGAAGUAAUUCGGUAUGUAAAGCUCUAUCAGCAGGGAAGAAAAUGACGAUGCCUGAGUAAGAAUCCCCGGCUAACUACGUGCCAGCAGCCGCGGUAAUACGUAGGGGGCAAGCGUUAUCCGGAUUUACUGGGUGUAAUGGGAGCGUAGACGGCAGUGCAAGUCUGGAGUGAAAGGCGGGGGCUCAACCCCCGGACGGCUUUGGAAACUGUACGGCUGGAGUGCAGGAGAGGUAAGUGGAAUUCCGAGUGUAGCGGUGAAAUGCGUAGAUAUUAGGAGGAACACCAGUGGCGAAGGCGGCUUACUGGACUGUAACUGACGUUGAGGCGCGAAAGCGUGGGGAGCAAACAGGAUUAGAUACCCGGGUAGUC